rnacentral:tRNA from 1 species
GUUCCUGUAGCGCAAUGGAUAGCGCGUUGGACUUCUAAUCCAAAGGUCGUGGGUUCGAAUCCUACUUGGUACG